GACAGAGGUCCCGAGCGUUAGGCGGAAUCACUGGGCUUAAAGCGUGUGUAGGCGGCGGCCUAGGUACCUUGUGAAAUCCCACGGCUCACCCGUGGAACUGCUCGGUAUACUGGGUCGCUUGAGCCACUUAGGGGCUACCGGAACAAAUGGUGGAGCGGUGAAAUGCGUAGAUAUCAUUUGGAACGCCAAUGGUGAAAACAGGUAGCUGGGAGUGUGCUGACGCUGAGACACGAAAGCCAGGGGAGCAAACGGG
rnacentral:rRNA from 1 species